AUAUCAUUUUGCAGAAAUAAAGG
rnacentral:snRNA from 1 species